AUUGAACGCUGGCGGCAGGCCUAACACAUGCAAGUCGAGCGAGCGGCGGACGGGUGAGUAAUGUAUGGGGAACUGCCCGAUAGAGGGGGAUAAAUACUGGGAAAGGUGGGUAAUACCGCAUAAGAUCGGAUGAACCCCUAUGGGGUUCGCUAGGAGGUUGGGUAAAGGCCCACCUAGGCGAAGGACACUAGCUGGACGGCGAGGAUGAUCAGCCCCACUGGGACGGAGACCGGGCCCAGAGGCCUACGGGAGGCAGCAUUGGGGAAUAGUGCACAAUGGGCGCAAGCCUGAUGCAGCCAUGCCGCGUGUAUGAAGAAGGCCUUAGGUUUGUAAAGUACUUUCAGCGGGGAGGCGUUACCCGCAGAAGAAGCACCGGCUAACUCCGUGCCAGCAGCCGCGGUAAUUC
rnacentral:rRNA from 1 species